UUCACAUAUUGCUGAUAGGUUCUAUGUAGUUAGCCACAGGGGAAUUCUGGUUUGUAUCCAGAACUGUCGCGCAACGGUGAAGUCGCUUAGCGAACAAGUCCGAAAACCUGGGCUGUCGAAUAUUUUUGU
rnacentral:ncRNA from 2 species